rnacentral:lncRNA from 1 species
UGAGGAGCUUUUAGGCUUUGAGGACAAAGGUGGUGAUGAGCUGAGGACUGCAGGCAGCCUCUAGACACUGAAAAGGAAAGGAAUGGAUUCUCUUCUAGAGCCUCCAAAGAAACACAGCCCUGCCAGCAUCUUGACUUCAGCCCCAUAAGACCCAUUUCAGACUUCGAGCUUCUAGAACUGUAAGGCUGGAUUCCCGUGGGGUUCCAAGAUGACUACAGCAGUUCCAGUCAUCAUUCUCAGAUAUCAGAAAGCCAAGAGGAGAAAAGACCAUUAUUCAUUAUGUGCCUCCCAGCAGACAUCCCCUGUCUUGUUGACCUGCAUUUCAUCAGACAGAGAGAUGCAAAGGUCAACCUGGAAGAGUGGGCUGACAGCCCCUAGCUACAGCGUUUUGGGAUCCACUGAAGCAGCAGCA